AGCCGAACUGCACGAGCAAUUGAUUUGUAAUCAAUAGGUCCGCGGUUCGAAUCCGUGCGGGGGCACCA
rnacentral:tRNA from 1 species